UACGUAGGGGGCAAGCGUUGUCCGGAUUUAUUGGGCGUAAAGCGCGCGUAGGCGGAUCGGUGAGUCGGAGGUGAAAUCCUGGAGCUCAACUCCAGAACUGCCUUUGAUACUGCCGAUCUUGAGUCCGGGAGAGGUGAGUGGAACUCCGAGUGUAGAGGUGAAAUUCGUAGAUAUUCGGAAGAACACCAGUGGCGAAGGCGGCUCACUGGCCCGGUACUGACGCUGAGGUGCGAAAGCGUGGGGAGCAAACAGG
rnacentral:rRNA from 1 species